GGCGGAUCAGUGGCGAACGGGUGAGUAACACGUGAGUAACCUGCCCCCGACUCUGGGAUAACUGCUAGAAAUGGUAGCUAAUACCGGAUAUGACGACUGGCCGCAUGGUCUGGUCGUGGAAAGAAUUUCGGUUGGGGAUGGACUCGCGGCCUAUCAGGUUGUUGGUGAGGUAAUGGCUCACCAAGCCUACGACGGGUAGCCGGCCUGAGAGGGUGACCGGCCACACUGGGACUGAGACACGGCCCAGACUCCUACGGGAGGCAGCAGUGGGGAAUAUUGCACAAUGGGCGAAAGCCUGAUGCAGCAACGCCGCGUGAGGGAUGACGGCCUUCGGGUUGUAAACCUCUUUUAGUAGGGAAGAAGCGAAAGUGACGGUACCUGCAGAAAAAGCACCGGCUAACUACGUGCCAGCAGCCGCGGUAAUACGUAGGGUGCAAGCGUUGUCCGGAAUUAUUGGGCGUAAAGAGCUCGUAGGCGGUUUGUCGCGUCUGCUGUGAAAUCCCGAGGCUCAACCUCGGGUCUGCAGUGGGUACGGGCAGACUAGAGUGCGGUAGGGGAGAUUGGAAUUCCUGGUGUAGCGGUGGAAUGCGCAGAUAUCAGGAGGAACACCGAUGGCGAAGGCAGAUCUCUGGGCCGUAACUGACGCUGAGGAGCGAAAGCAUGGGGAGCGAACAGGAUUAGAUACCCUGGUAGUCCAUGCCGUAAACGUUGGGAACUAGAUGUGGGGACCAUUCCACGGUCUCCGUGUCGCAGCUAACGCAUUAAGU
rnacentral:rRNA from 1 species